CAUUGAAACACCUGUUCCUGUACGAUCACCGAAGUUAAGCAACGUCAAGCCUGGUCAUUACCUAGGUGGGUCACCGCUUUGGAAUACCAGGUGCUAUA